CAAUUGGGUCGAUUAAAAUUAAAAAACAAAACGUUGCAAACGAUGCAUUUUUAGCCCCAUACCGGCGGUAUAGAAGGGACUCCCUUCGGUCGUCCCGACUAAAAACUUUAUUUGUAAUUCUGCUUCUGUUUUUCAAAUCUCCGCUUCAUGUCUCAUAUCAACCGAUCUACUUGAGUCUCAUAUUCUCAUUUUCUUCUGUCUCUUCUUCUUCCUUGAUGAAAUCAAAAAUUAGAUUUCAAAUCAACCGAACCCCUCUAGGGAUAACUUCCGCUCAGACUUGAUCGUUGAAUAUUUGCAACCAGGGCUUUCAAUUUAUAUUAGUUGUGAUCUUUUAUAGGGUUUUAAUUGUAUGAAUCAAAAAAAGGUAGAAUUUAUUGGUUUAUGGAUGCUGUUGAUAUAUUUAGCUUAAUUGGUUUUCUGUAGUUUUUGAUUCAUUUGGGGUAUUGGGUUUCGUAAUUGUAAAUUGAAAGUUAAUUCCAGUGACACUAACUGAAAAACACUGUUGGAUUACUUUUUUUUUAUUUCAUCAGAAAAAUGCAUCUUGGAGGGUGAAAAGGAUAAAAAAAGUACAAAUUGCCUGCUUAAAGCAGAGAAUGAAAAAGAGAAAAGAGCAAGUGAAAUAAAUAGGUCAGAAAUGCCUAUCAAAAAAAAAAAAAGGUCAGAAAUAGGAGUAAAACAAGGGCUAAAAGGCGAUUGUUACACACCUUCCGCAGACUUGGGAGAGCUGACGACAAAAGAGACGGAUAUUUCCAAUGUCUGGAUUUUCGCAGAUCCUUAAUAAUGUUGUGGAUUUCCUGAUUACUCUCAAGUCAUUCAACAUGAAGCAGAAAGUAGCUACCAGCUACACCUCUAGAACAUACAUCUUACAGAUGUAGUAGGCUUCUUAAAAACCAUAACCAACAUCCAGCUGCUUCAGAGAGCCUGCGGACAAUCCAGCUAAAUGCUCGAGAUUACAAUACAAAGUCUAAGGUGGAUGAAACUAAAGAGAAUGGAGCAGGAUUCAUUGGAUGUCCAUGUGAAUUGCUGAAUUGGUUGAUCUAUCGUGCCCACCCGUUAUUAAGUUGGACCUCAAUUAUGAUUCUGAGAGGGCAUUUACAAUGCAACAAAACUGAGAGUGGUUAUUAUGUUUACCACGUGCAAUAAGAGCCACAGUACGAGACAACCAGGCCAGUCAGCAUUUGUUUCAAGGAUAUCGCUCCCUCCAACUAAGGUUGGCACGCACAAUGACGUUAAACAAGUUGUUGAUAUAUCUCCGGCAAGGAGAUUAAGUUGUUGAUGCUAGAAAUCGAGAAAGCAAUGCCUUCAGCGAAUAUAAUAUAUUUCCGGAAGUUCUACUGUAAAAUAAC